rnacentral:rRNA from 1 species
ACGCAAAACUUACCAGCCCUUGACAUGUGACUCGCCGGCUCCAGAGAUGGAGCCUUCGGUUCGGCCGGAGUCAACACAGGUGCUGCAUGGCUGUCGUCAGCUCGUGUCGUGAGAUGUUGGGUUAAGUCCCGCAACGAGCGCAACCCUCGUCUCCAGUUGCCAUCAGGUUAUGCUGGGCACUUUGGAGAAACUGCCGGUGACAAGCCGGAGGAAGGUGGGGAUGACGUCAAGUCCUCAUGGCCCUUACGGGCUGGGCUACACACGUGCUACAAUGGCGGUGACAAUGGGAUGCGAUGGCGCGAGCCGGAGCCGAUCCUAAAAAACCGUCUCAGUUCGGAUUGCACUCUGCAACUCGAGUGCAUGAAGUUGGAAUCGCUAGUAAUCGAGGAUCAGCAUGCCUCGGUGAAUACGUUCCCGGGUCUUGUACACACCG